GAAAUUUGUAUACUAUUAACCCAAAAAUCAAUAGGGAAAAACACCCAUCUUGGAAGCCCUCGUUGCUAUUCAAGUGAGCAAAAACCCGGAGCCGCUAAACCCUUGCACGAGAAUGAAAAACACUCUUCGGUAGCUAAUUGCUAACCACAUCCUUCAUCCAUGGUCACCAAGUUCUUCCUCAGACCCAACUCUGUUCCCCUUACCGUCGUCUCCCCAACCCAUUUGUUCCUCUUCCCUAAACCCCUUCUCUCCAAGUUCACCAUUAGUUCUCUUUUUUCGACAGCUACUCAGGCAAUAAUCCCAAACCCAAAAGCCCUCCCCUAUGGACCCUCUCUUCUCAAAGGAAAAAUCCCAUUUCAAUACUCACAACAACAGCAGCAACAAGAGCAAUACUGCCAAUCCCAAUUUGGUAUAAAACUGCUUAAUGUGGACAAACAAAGCCAGGACGAUGAUAAACAAGAGGACCAUAAUGAUGGUGAUAACAUAAUGGACGAGGAAAAAUUCACUCGGGUCUUUGACAUAGCUGCGCUUCGACUCCCUGCCAAAGAUUGUUUUGCUCUGGAGAGCAGACUUCGUGGCCAUUUAUUGAAUUGGCCGCGGAUUCGCAACAUUGCUAGAGUGCCUGGAGAUGAAGUGGAAGAAGAGCUCGUGCCUUUCUUGGGAGCCACCCAAAAUGGGAACACAGAUGAGGAAGGAAAUUUUGAUGCAUUGAAUCGAAGGAUCUACGGGAGAGCCGAGGGAGAUGGUGAAGAAUUAAGUCCUGUUUUGUAUCGGGAAAGAUUAGCAAAGGAGUUCAAUUCAAGGGGGUUUGUUAAGUUCAGGAAUUUAGCUAAGAUUUCGAGGCCGCCAAGGAAGAAGAGAAAGGGAGGAGAAGGAGAGGAGACGAUGAAAGAGAGAAAUAAGAGGAAGGGGAGAGAUGAAUUUUAUAUGGUGGAGGUCGUGGAAGAGGAUGGCGGAGAGGAUUGGAAAGGGUUAUUGGGGGAUGAGUUUAAGGGAAGAAGCAAAUGGAGGGGUUCAACAAGGUUGUUGCUUUUGGAUGAGAGCUACGCAGAUAAGGGAGUGGAGGAUUUGCCUCAGGCUAUCAAGGUGGCUUUAAAAGAAUCUAUGAGAGAAAACUCAACUUCUACCUUUGAGCUUAUUAGAUGCAAGCUGAUUUUGUUUUAUGAUUACUGGCAGAUGAAUGAGGUCUUGGAGGGCUUGCUACCACAAGGUAUGAUUGUUCCAUCAGCUUUCGAAACAAUUGGGCACAUUGCACACCUGAACCUGAGAGAUGAGCAUCUUCCCUACAAGAAUCUUAUAGCAAAGGUAGUUUUGGAUAAAAACAAGCCAAAGAUACAAACUGUUGUAAAUAAGAUUGAUGCCAUACACAAUGAUUAUAGAACAAUGCAGCUUGAGGUUUUAGCUGGAAAUUGCUCCCUUGUCACCAUGGUAGUUGAGAAUGGAUUAAGAUUCCAGGUUGAUUUAGCAAAAGUGUAUUGGAAUUCAAGGCUUGCAACUGAAAGACAAAGGCUUCUGAAUGGCUUUACACGCAGUGAUGUUGUUUGUGAUGUUUUUUCUGGUGUUGGUCCGAUAGCUUUAUCUGCUGCCAAGAUAGUGAAACGAGUAUAUGCCAAUGAUUUGAACCCUCAUGCAGUUGAUUAUCUGGAGAGAAAUAGUGUUCUCAACAAGCUUGAGAGGAAGAUUAAAGUCUUUAAUAUGGAUGGAAGGAGGUUCAUUAAUGCUGUGUUCUCAAGUGAGAAAGCUCAGACCAUUACACAGGUGGUUAUGAAUUUGCCAAAUGAUGCAUCAGAAUAUCUAGAUGUGUUUAGGGGAAUAUUCAAAGAUAACCACAAGAAGAGAGAAUUUACUUUGCCAAUGAUCCAUGUUUAUGGAUUCUCCAAAGCACGAGAUCCAGAAUUUGACUUUCAUGAGAACCCAAGUGCAUCUCUUUGAAGAAUAUGUUUCUUUCAAAGCCAGUAAGGAGGCAUCAAUUGGCUUUUGCCCUUUCUCUGCUUAGAAAACAAGGAUUAUACAUGAGAACAGAUCAAUUAAGCUUAAGGGAGAUCGCUUAUUUUCUUUUUCAUUGUCCCAACUCAACUAACAAAUGACAGCGACCUCUUCAUGGAUCAAAUACACAGAAGUGUACAUAAAUGCUAGAGAAACAUGAAUAUUUGAUGCACAGAUCUGUCCUCUUUGGACGGCCCAGAUCUAUUCCCUCAAACGUUUGCAUGCCCAUUGAUUUUGUCCCUUCAGAAACAGAUCUUUCUGCAAGACACGUUGCCCUGACUGGCUAUGUCAUAUGGAGUUCUAUUUAGGACUAAGGUCUGGGACAAGAUGGUCUAUGUGGGGUUGAUGGGUAAGGGCAAAAAUGGCAGGAGAAGGCAGAGAAACAGUCGGAGGAAAAAAGAAAGCAAAUCUCAGUUCAGAUUGAGAUCUAAAUAAUUACAUGCAUCUGUGUGGUCCUUAAUUGAGUUUCAUUUGGGGAUGGAGAGAUGUGAGAGGAUCUUUGGCUAUUUUGUCCUAAAAUGGUUAGAUCUUUCACAAGUUGCAUAAAGCCAAAACUAACAGUUACUUUAACUUCAGGCUUUCUUGGGGCAACCUCCAGGAAACCAAUGGAAAACAUCAAUGCUUGCCGCCUACCUCACUCUCUCUCUCUCAUUUAUAUAACAAAACCCUUUCUCCACCAAAACAUGCCCAUUAAUGGAAAUGGUUUUCCAAUUAUCAUCUGCAUAAUUAAGCUAUAAAUGGCCAAGUGAUGGGGGAAAGGAGAAAUUGCAAGUGUGGAAAGUUCUCAACAGAGAAGGCUAACUAUGUUUACAUCAACAAGUUGCAUAUGCCUCCUUUUCAUAUUUCUUAUUUUAGAAGCAAAGCAAGGGCUUUUUUUCCUAGUUAUACCACACAACUUGUAGCUGGCUUACGAAUUCAAUAUCUUAAGAGUUGCAGAUUUUUAAUAUCACAGCUUGAAAUUGGUGGCA